UGUCCAGGGAUGGGAAUCGAACCCACAGUGUUCAGCUAGAGCCAAAUUAAAAAUCGAAUCAUGACUAUUGUGCUCUAAAUCAUAAAUUAAAUAAAGCACUAUAUCAAAUAAAUCACUAAAUCACAGUGUUCUGCUUACCGGGCAGAUUCCAUGUCCACUAGGCUACUUUGGAC
rnacentral:tRNA from 1 species